ACGUAGGGGGCGAGCGUUGUCCGGAAUUACUGGGCGUAAAGGGUGCGUAGGCGGCAAUUUAAGUUGGAUGUGAAAUACCCGGGCUUAACCUGGGGGGUGCAUUCAAAACUGGAUAGCUAGAGUACAGGAGAGGGAAGCGGAAUUCCUAGUGUAGCGGUGAAAUGCGUAGAUAUUAGGAGGAACACCGGUGGCGAAGGCGGCUUUCUGGACUGAAACUGACGCUGAGGCACGAAAGCGUGGGGAGCAAACAG
rnacentral:rRNA from 1 species